GGCCGUUCUUAGUUGGUGGAGAGAUUUGUCAGGUUAAUUCCGGUAACGAACGAGACUGAAACCUAUUAAUUAGUUUUCUGCCUAUAAGACAGAAUGUUCGCAAGAACAGGUGCGUAAGUACCACUUCUUAAAGGGACACAUUUCAAUUGUCCUAUUUUAAUUGUAGUUAUCUAAUUUCGGUUAGACCUCUUUUAACGUGGGAAAAAGAAAAAGGAAGCAUUCAGCAAUAACAGGUCUGUGAUGCCCUUAGACAUCUUGGGCCGCACGCGCGCUACAAUGGAGUUACUAGAGAGUAUUUUAUCAUUUACACCUUAUUUAUUAGGCUUUGUCUAAUAAUUAAGGAUAGUAAGUGGUGUACCGAGAUUGAAAUAGUUAAGGAAAACUCAAAAGAACGUACAUGACAGGGAUAAAUGAUUGGAAUUAUUUGUUUUGAACGAGGAAUUCCUUGUAAUAUCGAGUCAUUAACUCGAGAUGAAUACGUACCUGCCCUUU
rnacentral:rRNA from 1 species